CUGUUGCACUCACAGUUAAAAUUAGACAAGCCCUUUCACGUUCCUUUUUGAAGAUAUUGAGUUGAGAAUAAUACAUUAGCCAAACAGUUGCAAUAAUAUGAGAAUGAAGUUUAUCACAUUUUAUGAAAACUGUGAAAGUUAUGAGAAGAUCAUAAUACUGCAAUCUUUUUUUGGGGGGGAGGAAAAAAAUAAUUAGGAGAAUUGAGUGGUAUUUUUUUUUCAAGU